CACGGAGACACACAGAGGGACCGGGGGCACCGCGUGUCCCCGCGGAGCGGCGGGUGUGUGCGCGCCCUCCCGCCCUCCAUGUCCGCAUUCCAGCUCAUGUUGCGCAGAUAAAAUUCAAACUUGAGGUAAACACAAGCGGGGGGGGGGUGCGUGUGUGUGUGCGCUGAGGAGGAGGAGUGGGGGGGGAGAAGAAGAGGCGAGAGAGAGGGAGGCAGGCUCGCUCCAUCCCGGCUCCCCACCGCUCCGCACCCACCGAACCCCCACGCACCUGGCUGCUAGCGACCAGCUUCCCCCCCCCGGCCCAUCACCCGCCCCCCCCCGCCGGCCGGUCCCUUCGCAGGGGCCGCCGGCGCUACUUGGCUUCCCCGGGGGAGGGAAAGGCUGGCGCCCCCCUCCUCGCAUCGGACACGGCAAGUGAGGUUUUCACCACCGUUCCGUUACCCCAUUGCUGCAGCCAACGCAGAUCCGAAUGCCGUGGCUACAAAGGCUUGUUACUUUCUCAUGCUGGAUCCCUCAAAUCCAAGAGCUACUUGGCAGUUUCCAAGGCAACCACCUGUGGAAUAAUUAAAAAGGAUGAAGUGUUAGUGUGCCAGAUAUAAGGAAUUCUUGCCCGGAGAAAACACUUCAUUUUCAUCUGUCUUGAAGAAUCAAAUGUGUUUCUGCCAGCAAAGUUAAGCUUAAAGGGUAUGCAGUAAUUAAAUUGAUACUGAAACUGAACCGAUCGUCAGGCUUAGCUGCUUUGGUGAAGCAGCAGCUAAAACCAUUUUGAAGACCACAUUCCCAGAUUCAGAGCUGAAAUUGCAUAGUGGAGAAACCAAAAGAAGAAGAAAUGGUGACCGAGUUGUACAAGCAAACCAGGGCAAUCGAAAAAGUGACUCAAAGCAGGAGCCAGCAGAUGGCUGCGUCGUUACUGGUGGCCACAGCCUUACGAGAUGAGUUUUGGAAUUCCCAUCAAAGUCGGGAUUAGGCUCAGGAUAUGCCGGUGGCACAGAGGAGCCCGGGGGCAGCGUGGAAGAAGAGGAAAUCAUUCCUAGCGACUCAUCUUGUGGUUGGUGGGCAAGUUUUCAGCUGGUGAUUUAUCAACAAAGUAUUUUACAGGAUCAUUGUUAAAAACUCUUUAAAAAAAAAAAAAUAUAUCCUGUGCGAUAGGGAAAGUAAAAGCAUCUCAGUUUCCAAAUGAUGAAGGAAUAACCGAAAGAGCUAGUUCUUGGAAUAGUAGCUCCAUUGGCACUCGUUGGUGAUUUCCUGUGCAUUUGCUGCAAGAAUCACUGGGUGAUGUGAGUAGGUGGUACUAAAGGGUUAUUACGAAACCAAUUUUCAACCAGACGUUUUGAGUCAUGGAUCGGGAAGAGGGAUAGCAGCUUCGGAGCUUUCUCUUUGUUCGAGCAGUGCGCCUGAAAUGCACACGCAGGAUAUUCUGUGCUUGCCCGGAACAAGGCAGACUGGGGAUAGGUCUGGUAUUCCAUGUAGUGUCCUUCUUCUUCCCACUCCAUCACGGGGAUGGGAAACGAGAACAUGGGCUGAGAGCCGGCAGCAGCAGCGCAAGGUGCACGAGGAGCAGAUUCCUGGCUGUUUUUCGAUUGUAAGUAUUUUCUCCUGGUUUUUCCCCAGACGUGAGAGACAAAAUGGAGUUGCGUCAGGACGGAUGUCUGUGCCAAGACGAGGUGGUGGUUUGGAGCGGUUUGGUUCUGUUCUGGAAGCAGAUGGGCUGCCACUGGCAGGAGACAGUUGGCGUCUCCAUCAGAAAAAAAAAAAAAAAAGGGGGUGUUUAAGGGAAUUGGUCUGGCUCCUAAACCGAAGGAAUUGUUGACCUACUGACUCAGUUAUGAAGCAUUAGGGAAGUAGUCUUACUGUGGUUUCUUUUGUUGGUGGCAGAUUCAGAAGACGUUUGUGAGCGUACGGGUAUGACUAGCAAAGAGAGACGGUUCUAGUACCUGCUGCCUGUGGGAUUUAUUUUGUGCCAGGAAGGAGCUGAGGUGCUGACUGCUGAAUUACACCUAAACUUGAUUUCUGAUGCUUCUCCUGAUAAUGCAUUGGUAAGUUUACGUACUUCUCGUUUUCAGCGCUAAGAUGGUAUCUGGCUAAAUGUAAUUGAAAGAAAGCUCUUUAACAGCUGUUAGAAUGUGGCACGGUGCGGUUGUUUUUUCACUGAAGCAGCUUUUAUAGAAGACACUGGCUGGCCUGCUGCAGUUCAGGAGUCUGUAAAUAAGGGGGAAAACUUUGUUGAUCGGGUCGACAAAAACAACUGGAAAUUGCUGAUCUCUCCCGCCUUUAACGUACAAACCUUUACCAACAUUGGUACUAAGCAAAGAGGGUGGGCCAGCCCUCCGGCUUUGGGAUCCUGUUGUCCCGGAGUCAUGGCUACGCUGUGAUUUUCCUGUUACACAUUGCUGAAUGAACAAGGCUUCGGUCUUCUUGAAUUUCACAUGAAAAUCAGAUGUCUGUCCCUGGAAUUAAAUCUAAUGAUACUUUUCCUAAAAUAUGCCUAGAAUAGAAAUGAUGUUAUUUUUAAGUGGUUCUGUAAAUCCCAAGGAAAAAAAGCUAUCAAUUAGUGGUUUCUCAGAAAACCCAGAUCAUUAACAUACUAUUGGCUAGAAGGAAUCACGUUGGUCGAUGGCGCUAGGUCUGGAAGUCGUGCUCCUGAAUCUGCUGUCAACUCUGCCACUGGUUUGGGGAGGAAUUUUUUGGAGGGGGAGCUUCUUGUGCAAGGCAUUUAUUCAUAGUUGUCGAUAAAAUGAGGAUAGUGAUAUUUAACUUCCCUUCAGUGCUUUACCAGCAUUAUCACCCUGUUUUCCUUUUAGAGAGGAUGCUGAUACGUGAUGCCGUGGCUCUUGGAUUUCGUUGUUUUGUAGGCGUAGAUUAUGAGAAGAUGGGGAAAGCAGAAUAGUGGUUACUGAACAGAUCCUACAGGAAGGAUGGGGAGGGACUCUCUAUCAGGGAGUGUAAUGAUAGGACACGGGGUAAUGGCUGCAGACUGAAAGAGGGUGGAUUUAGAUUGGAUAUCAGGAAGAAAUUCUUCACGGUAAGGGUGGUGAGGCACUGGAGCAGGUUGCCCAGAGAAGCUGUGGCUGCCCCAUCCCUGGAGGUGUUCAAGGCCAGGCUGGAUGGGGCUUGGAGCAACCUGGUCUGGUGGCAGGUGUCCCUGCCCAGGGCAGGGGGGUGGAACUGGAUGAUCUUUAAGGUCCUUUCCAACCUGACCCGUUCUGUGAAUUCAGCAUGCUCUGUGACAGGUCCCCUCCAGACACCAGCUGUAGGAAUUACUGAUACUGUGUACUAACCCUCCACCAUGAAUGCAGGAAUUCCCUGCUGCUCUUCUUCCCUGGGUGGGUGACACUGGGAUGCAGUGAGAUGCUCGUGGAUGUUUUUUUUCCCCUCUUUUCCAAAACAGCAACCGAGAAGGCAGUCCGUACACCACGCGUCCCUACGGAACUACAAAUAAACCCGGCGGUUUGAAAAAAAAAAAUAAAUAAAUAGGAAGGUUUAGCAUUGUACUGGAUUUCCUUUCCUUAAGUGCUUCCUUUGGAUCUUGGGAGAAGAGCUCGGGAGCGGGGCGACUUUCUAGCGAGCAGUUGUACCAAAAGGCGUGGGAGGCAGGGUCAGGGAAGAGUCACUCGGUUGUUAUGUGGGUGUGAAAAGCCUAUGAAAAGGAAAGGGCGGAGGAAAAUAUUUUACUUGAAUUAAACAAAUAAAGGAGAAUGUUCUAUGAAUUAGAUAUUUGAUGUUAGAUUUUUUUUUGCCACACAUUUAUGUGAAUUAACUGCGUAUCUUCUGAAAAUCAUUUAUUUAACCAUAAGCUUAUCAAAAUGUUCUCAGAAGGGACUUUUUUUUUUUAAAAAAAAAAAAAAAGGCAACAAAAACAAAAAAAUCAUUGUUUUCUUAUCACUUCAGAUAAAAAGAAAGGAAGUGGCAAAUUUUUA